AUGAUUUUCAUAAGUACCCUGCUUAUACUGAUAUUAGUAUCUGAUGUAAAAGGAAGGAAAUUUUGUCCCAGAGCAACCAUUGCAAUGGCAGCGACUGGCGUGUCAAAGCGCACCUUUACGUUCACGGUUGUCUACGCAAGUGACAGCUCAAAGAUGGUGCAUCUUGUGUUGGGUUUAUGGUUGGAGGCUGACAGUUCUAGUUUCCUCCUCCGGCGUCGUAGUCGUGCGGGGGUGUCAAUUCUGAAGUUCGAUGGCUUGUCCAGGGACUUGUUGCCCCGGUCUGAUUCUUUCAACGGUAAUGGUUUUGCUUUAGGCAAACUACUUUGA
rnacentral:rRNA from 1 species